rnacentral:rRNA from 1 species
UACGGAGGGUGCGAGCGUUAAUCGGAAUCACUGGGCGUAAAGCGCACGUAGGCUGUUUUGCAAGUCAGGCGUGAAAGCCCUCGGCUCAACCGAGGAAUUGCGUUUGAAACUGCAGGACUCGAGUACUGGAGAGGGUGGCGGAAUUCCCGGUGUAGGAGUGAAAUCCGUAGAUAUCGGGAGGAACACCAGUGGCGAAGGCGGCCACCUGGACAGAUACUGACGCUGAGGUGCGAAAGCGUGGGGAGCAAAC